rnacentral:rRNA from 1 species
AGGACGAACGCUGGCGGCGUGCUUAACACAUGCAAGUCGAGCGGAAAGGCCCUUCGGGGUACUCGAGCGGCGAACGGGUGAGUAACACGUGAGCAACCUGCCCUUAGCUUCGGGAUAGCUCCGGGAAACCGGAAUUAAUACCGAAUAUGACUGCGGCUGACAUCAGCCACGGUGGAAAGUUUUUCGGCUAGGGAUGGACUCACGGCCUAUCAGCUAGUUGGUGAGGUAACGGCCCACAAGGCGACGACGGGUA